ACCGAAAGGUGGAGGUAAUCCCCUAAACCAGGUCGUAGUUCGGAUCGAGGGCUGUAACCCGCCCUCGUGAAGCUCGAAUGCGUAGUAAUCGCGUGUCACUAUCGCGCGGUGAAUACGUCCCUGCUCCUUGCACACACCGCCCAUCACGCCACCCAAAAAGGGCUUGGAUGACGGACACAACACUUCUGUUGUGGAUCGAAUCUGGGUUCUUUGAC
rnacentral:rRNA from 1 species